CAAAAACGAACGUUGCGAAUAAUAAUUGUUGAUCGCGCACAACAGGGUCUCGUGGCCGCGUAAAUUUGAUUUUCAGAAAAUGUUUACACGUCCCUCGUUUUUUUCAAUGUUCACGCGGAACAAUGAUUGUCAAUAUUGGAUAUCGCUUUUGAUUUUCGCCUACAGUCGAAACAAUAAAAAAAAAAAUCCGAAAAAUCGAAAAUCCGCGGUCAACUCGUUAACUCGCCAAAAAAAACCGCGUUAAAGACCCUGUUCGCGCGGACCGGAUCGUUUCACACCUUUUUUCCCAUCGAACGAAUCGGAGAAACGAUAAACGCGUACGUACGUUUAUCGAUCGAAUAACGGG